UGGGGAAUUUUGGACAAUGGGCGCAAGCCUGAUCCAGCCAUGCCGCGUGUGGGAAGAAGGCCUUCGGGUUGUAAACCGCUUUUGUCAGGGAAGAAAUCUUCUGAGUUAAUACCUCGGGAGGAUGACGGUACCUGAAGAAUAAGCACCGGCUAACUACGUGCCAGCAGCCGCGGUAAUACGUAGGGUGCAAGCGUUAAUCGGAAUUACUGGGCGUAAAGCGUGCGCAGGCGGUUUUGUAAGACAGAGGUGAAAUCCCCGGGCUCAACCUGGGAACUGCCUUUGUGACUGCAAGGCUUGAGUGCGGCAGAGGGGGAUGGAAUUCCGCGUGUAGCAGUGAAAUGCGUAGAUAUGCGGAGGAACACCGAUGGCGAAGGCAAUCCCCUGGGCCUGCACUGACGCUCAUGCACGAAAGCGUGGGGAGCAAACAGGAUUAGAUACCCUGGUAGUCCACGCCCUAAAACGAUGUCAACUGGUUGUUGGGAAGGUUCCUUCUCAGUAACGUAGCUAACGCGUGAAGUUGACCGCCUGGGGAGUACGGCCGCAAGGUUG
rnacentral:rRNA from 1 species